rnacentral:lncRNA from 1 species
UGAGAGGCACGUGAGUGGUUUGCAGGUGGGCGCGUGGGAGGGAGGUGAGAGAUGCUGGCACAUGUUGUAUCGUAUGGACAAAAAAUUGGCUGAUAAAUUUUUAAAAAUUUCAGCAGGCAGUCGCAUAGGCAGUCCCAAGAUAUUGUAUUCUGAGAAGCAAAAAGAUGACUUGCAGAUAGAUAUUUAAUAGGUUAUUGACUCCUCCGGAAACACCACUUUUUAUUUAACAGGUUAUUGGUUAUUAUUAACAAGUAUUAUAUAUUUCUUACGUGUGCCCUUUUUCACUCAUUUAUGAAAAUUCACUUUUAGAUGAAGCAAAGGAAAGGUGCUGGCUAUUAGGCAUUAUGAUCUGCAAGUUUUUAACUUUUUGUACAUCCAGAUUGAUGACCUUGCCCAAAGAACCGGAGAACUUCCUCAAAGAAGAAGAGAAUUCUAGCUGUUAUUAAUAUUGGAUAUGUAAUGGGUUGUUUUGUGUUAGUUGGGCUGUAAAUAUUUAUUUUAUGUGAUCCGUAAUUACGUAUAAUUCUCAGUCUUUUGUGGGCUUCUGUAAUGGGCUUGGCCCACUCAUUAUUUCACACUAAUGAAAGAAUAUAUAAUAUAAUUGGGUUGAAUGUGU